GACGAACGCUGGCGGCGUGCUUAACACAUGCAAGUCGUACGGUAAGGCCCUUUCGGGGGUACACGAGUGGCGAACGGGUGAGUAACACGUGAGUAACCUGCCCACAACUUUGGGAUAACGCUAGGAAACUGGUGCUAAUACUGCAUAUGUGCUACUGCUGCAUGGUGGGGGUUGGAAAGCUCCGGCGGUUGUGGAUGGACUCGCGGCCUAUCAGCUUGUUGGUGGGGUAGUGGCCUACCAAGGCGGCGACGGGUAGCCGGCCUGAGAGGGUGACCGGCCACACUGGGACUGAGAUACGGCCCAGACUCCUACGGGUGGCAGCAGUGGGGAAUAUUGCACCAUGGGCGCCAGCCUGAUGCAGCAACGCCGCGUGCGGGAUGACGGCCUUCGGGUUGUAAACCGCUUUCAGCAGGGACGAAGCUUUUUGUGACGGUACCUGCAGAAGAAGCACCGGCUAACUACGUG
rnacentral:rRNA from 1 species